CAAGAGCCCCCUCCUAACGAAGGGCCUUCGACC
rnacentral:rRNA from 1 species